UACGAAGGGUGCAAGCGUUAAUCGGAAUUACUGGGCGUAAAGGGUGCGUAGGCGGUUGUUUAAGUCUGUCGUGAAAUCCUCGGGCUCAACCUGGGAAUGGCGAUGGAUACUGGGCAGCUAGAGUGUGUCAGAGGAUGGUGGAAUUCCCGGUGUAGCGGUGAAAUGCGUAGAGAUCGGGAGGAACAUCAGUGGCGAAGGCGGCCAUCUGGGACAACACUGACGCUGAAGCACGAAAGCGUGGGGAGCAAACAGG
rnacentral:rRNA from 1 species